UACGGGGGGGGCAAGCGUUGUUCGGAAUUACUGGGCGUAAAGGGCGCGUAGGCGGCCUUCUAAGUCGAACGUGAAAUCCCCGGGCUCAACCCGGGAACUGCGUCCGAGACUGAAAGGCUCGAAUCCGGGAGAGGGAUGUGGAAUUCCAGGUGUAGCGGUGAAAUGCGUAGAUAUCUGGAGGAACAUCGGUGGCGAAGGCGGCAUCCUGGACCGGUAUUGACGCUGAGGCGCGAAAGCCAGGGGAGCAAACGGG
rnacentral:rRNA from 1 species